ACGUAGGGUGCGAGCGUUAAUCGGAAUUACUGGGCGUAAAGCGUGCGCAGGCGGUUCGCUAAGACAGGUGUGAAAUCCCCGGGCUUAACCUGGGAAUUGCGCUUGUGACUGGUGAGCUGGAGUACGGUAGAGGGGGGUAGAAUUUCACGUGUAGCAGUGAAAUGCGUAGAGAUGUGAAGGAAUACCAGUGGCGAAGGCAGCCCCCUGGGCAGAUACUGACGCUCA
rnacentral:rRNA from 1 species